GAAAUCUAUGAAAUUUUGACACAAGGUUUAUGACCACAAAGGAAGGUUGGGAUUGAUUUUGGGAGUUUUGGUUCUAACAGUUUAGGAAUUAAGGGCCAAAAAAGGGCCCAAAUAAGCAUUAUUCUUGGUUUUCGCACAAUAACUUUAGUAUAAGUAAAUAGAAAUCAAUGAAAUUUUAACACAAGGUUUAUGACCACAAAAGGAAGGUUGGGAUUGAUUUUUGGAAUUGAGGUCACAACAGUUUAUGAAUUAGGGGCCAAAAAGGGGCCCAAAUAAGCAUUAUUUUUGGUUUUUGCACCAUAACUUUAGUAUAAGUAAAUAGAAAUCUAUGAAAUUUAAACACAAGGUUAUG
rnacentral:lncRNA from 1 species